rnacentral:lncRNA from 1 species
GUGACGGGUGCCAUGAAAGAAAUGCAAAUAAAUGAGAAGCCUCUCCAAGAGCUGAGAGCCUGUGACGUCAGAGCUCCUGACGGUCAUGUUCAUUCCUGUACCCCCGUGCCUCACAGAAAACCUGGACAGAGGAGGAAGGCAUGCAGAGUCACUGGCUACAGUAGUAGGCAAUGCAGAUUGAAACUCGCCAGGGCACAAUCUCGCCUAAUCUACACAACUAGCUUAUGCCACAGACAAGAGUUGCAAAGAGGCUUCACAAUCUGGCUGACAAGGUAGAACAUUGCCGUGAACUCAGAUUUCAAAAUCUGAACUGCAAAUCUGCACCAGGGUAAAGAGGAGCCAGAGGAAGAAAAAGCAGGAGGCUCAGAGAUGGCUUCAGGGAGACCCUGGUGCUUACUCUGGACUUGAAGGACAGCAAGAUUGGCCACACGCAGAGACAGGGAGGGUAUUAAAGGAGAAACGUGAGCCAACUUUCCAGAGCUGGAAAGCACAGGCUGUCCUGUGUGGGCCUUUCCACAGCCUGGCCAAAGCUUCACCCGGAGGCCUGGGGGCAGCCCCCGCGAUGAAGGGGGCUGUGGGCCCCGAGCUCCUGUGACCUCCAGACCUGGGGGGCAACCUCAGCCCCCACCCGCUGAUGUGGAAGUCCUCCCUGACUUGGCUACCCCUUUGUCCUUAGAAUCAAGUUCAGUUUCUGCCUUGGAACAGAGCGAUGUGUAAUGGUGCACGCGGAGACGUGUACUGCUGACACAAUAGCCCGGAGCCAGCGGGCUUUGGAGCCACUUCUGUUCCAUCACGUAAUUACCUUCAGAGGGUGUAUUUAUAGCAACAGACGCGCCAAAGGAGGAGUGGAGGAGAUGCAACUCGCUCUGCCGAGCCCCUGAAGUGAUCAUUCCACAACACAGAUCUGAUCCUAUCCUGGAACUGGUUAAAGCUCAUCUGUGACUCGCCCACCUCCUAGAAGGUAAAACUCAAAUACAUUCACACAGGACUCAAGGGCCUGCACUCUCGAAGCUUUACUUGUUCUCCAGCUGCUCCCUCCAUCUCCAGUCACACCCAGAUGGCAACCACAGGGACCCUUUACUCGAUCAGUGAGUGAGUAUUUAUUGAACAGCUAUUCUGUUCCAGGCCCCCUGUCAGCGAUCAGUGGAAGAUGCAAAGUGAGCCUGCAGUCUGCAGGAGAAAAGGGCGUAAACACAAACACGCACACCCUCCGGUCACAGGUGUUCUGCAGAAACAAGGAAGAUUAGCCCUGAGCUAACAUCUGCUGCCAAUCCUCCUCUUUUUGCUGAGGAAGACUGGCUCUGAGCUAACAUCCAUGCCCAUCUUCCUCUACUUUAUAUCUGGGACGCCUGCCACAGCAUGGCCUUCUGAGCAGUGCAUUGUCCGAACCCCGGAUCUGAACCAGCAAACCCAGGGCCACCGAAGCUGAACGUGCAAAUUUAACCGCCGAGCCCCUGGGCCGGCCCCUAUGUCCUUGCUUUAAAG